rfam:Ovis aries breed Texel chromosome 3, whole genome shotgun sequence.
UCCCUGGUGGCUCAGAGGUUAAAGCAUCUGCCUCCAUUGCAGGAGACCUGGGUUCGAUCCCUGGGUUGGGAA